UACGGGGGAUGCAAGCGUUAUCCGGAUUUAUUGGGUUUAAAGGGUGCGUAGGCUGUGAGGUAUGUCAGCGGUGAAAUGCCCCCGCUCAACGGGGUGAAGUGCCAUUGAUACUGCCUUGCUGGAAUGCGGAUGCCGUGGGAGGAAUGUGUGGUGUAGCGGUGAAAUGCAUAGAUAUCACACAGAACACCGAUUGCGAAGGCAUCUCACGAAUCCGCGAUUGACGCUGAUGCACGAAAGCGUGGGUAUCAAACAGG
rnacentral:rRNA from 1 species